AAAAAAGGAACAAUUAUUCUUUCUGUUGCUGACCCUUCUCUUCAGGAAAGGACACCAACCAGAAAGAUGAAAGAUCUUGAACUUUAGACCUGCUGCAUCCAGCACAUAUGGCACCAUCUGGGAUAUGCCACCAGCUAUAGGAAGCAACCUAUGUGAAAGUGGAAAACGUGCUACAAAUGCGAUGGUCUUUUCCAAGAAUUUCUGCCUCCCAGGGAGAUUUGACAAUUCUGCUUCAGCACCAGCUGGGGUGUGGCAGGCAGUCUGGCCAGGCAUAUUGGCAGAAUGUGGGCAGAUACUGAGUGAAAUCUCUUCAGUCCCGUGCGUGGCCUUCUAGCAACCAGUGCAGAGGUGAUGCGGUGUGGCGGCCCGUGAGAGCUCACUGCAGGGCACACAGGAGCAGCUCCAGCCAUGCUGCCCCUGCAGCUGCUGCCGAAAGCUGGCUGGCCAGCGUGAUAAGCCUGGGACUGCGGAUGAUUGGUACUGCAAGACUUGCACGAAUGGGCAGUUCUUGAGACUGGGGGAGGUGAUCCUGGAAAACCAGUAGGAAGCAUCCGCACAGUUGAAGGAAACCCGUGAGAGGCACCAUGAGAAGAACGAAGCCCUUGAGCACAGAGCAACAGGCAGCAGCUGUUAUGAGCACAAUCCAACUCCCAGGACCACCCACUGCUUCACUGCAGGAAUUGGGGUGGGCUGAGGGU